rnacentral:rRNA from 1 species
GGGUCAGUAGGUUGGUCGUGCCACCGGUACGUACUGGUCUCACUGAUUCCUCCUUCCUGAAGAACCGUAAUGCCAUUAAUUUGGUGUUGCGGGGAAACAGGACUGUUACUUUGAAAAUAUUAGAGUGUUUAAAGCAAGCUAACGCUUGAAUACAUUAGCAUGGAAUAAUGAAAUAGGACGAUCGAUCCUAUUUUGUUGGUUUCUAGGAUUGACGUA